AUGGUGCAGGAGCCGAGCAACAGCAGCAGCCACCACCUGCAGCAGCAGCUGGCCAAGUACGGCGGCGGGACCGGGACCGGCAACGGCAACGGCGCGGCCACCGGCGUGGCGCGGGCGUCGAGGAAGAACAAGCCCAAGAAGAUCCCGCAGCGCGGCCUCGGCGUGGCGCAGCUCGAGAAGCUCCGCAUCGAGGAGCAGAAGAAAAUGGGAGGAGGCCCCUCCGCGGCCACGCCGUCGUCGCACGCGCUCAACGGCGGGGCCCUAUGCCACCUCCCCACGCCCGCCCUGCUCCAUCAUCCGCCGCCGGCGCCCCCGCUCAGCGCCCUGUCGAGGCCGGCCGCCGCGGAGCACUGCGGCUUCCCGCCGGCGCUCUGGAGCCCGGCGGAUCCGGCGAAGCACCCCUACAAGAGAAGCCUGUGCCCGCAGCCUCCACUCCCAAUGGUACGUACCUGCCCUCCCCACGGGCCGCAGCCUCCACUCCACGUCACGGCACGGCGUAUGCAUGUACUAUGCACGAACGAGGUCUCAAACUUACGCAAAUCUUUCGCCGACCAGGUGAGCACGGGCCUGUCCCUGACGGCGCCGUCGAGCCACCCAACAGAGCCCCCUUCAAACCAAAUGUACAGCAACAGCAGGAGGAGCAGCGCGGCGGCGCCGGCGCCGACGGAAGACGAGAGGGAACCGGCCGGCGUGGAUAGGUCCUGGCCCUUCAUGUUCGAGGGGAUGACCCCAUUCACGACGACGAGCAAAGCCUUCCCCCCUCCUCCGUUGCCGCCGUUCGCCGUCAGGACGGCGAGCGAUUCCGGGAUGGCCGAUGUCACUCCUGACCUGAGCAGAUACGAGUUCAGAGCGACCAAUUAUUUCAGUGCAAGUGCGUACCCAAGUUGUUCAGACUGGACACCACCGGAGUUCGGUCACGGCAAGGAUGCCGGCCGUAGCAGAGACGCCGGCUUGCUCACCCUGAGCUCCCGGCCUCCACACCUCAUGAAGCAGCCUCAUGUGGUGCCAUCAAUGCACAUCCCGGAGUACAGCGACUUCAGUGCCAGCGCGAUGCCACCCCAGCUGGGGAGCGUUUCAGCUUCGUCAUCAUCGUCGUCCCUGCCAUUCUACAACUUCCUCCCGAUCGGGCCGGUCCACCGGGAGAGAGCCCCGAGCGAGCGGAGGGCCGACGUGUCGGAAGGGGAAAUCGACUUGGAGCUGAAGCUAUGGAAGGGCUGA
rnacentral:rRNA from 1 species